rnacentral:rRNA from 1 species
ACUCCUACGGGAGGCAGCAGUAGGGAAUCUUCCACAAUGGACGAAAGUCUGAUGGAGCAACGCCGCGUGAGUGAAGAAGGGUUUCGGCUCGUAAAACUCUGUUGUUAAAGAAGAACAUAUCUGAGAGUAACUGUUCAGGUAUUGACGGUAUUAACCAGAAAGACCACGGCUAACUAACGUGCCAGCAGCCGCGGUAAUACGUAGGUGGCAAGCGUUGUCCGGAUUUAUUGGGCGUAAAGACGAGCGCAGGCGGUUUUUAAGUUCUGAUGUGAAAGCCUUCGGCUCAACCGAAGAAGUGCAUCGGAAACUGGGAAACUUGAGUGCAGAAGAGGACAGUGGAACUCCAUGUGUAGCGGUGAAAUGCGUAGAUAUAUGGAAGAACACCAGUGGCGAAGGCGGCUGUCUGGUCUGUAACUGACGCUGAGGCUCGAAAGUAUGGGUAGCAAACAGGAUUAGAUACCCUGGUAGGAUAGCC